rnacentral:lncRNA from 1 species
CCCCCUGCACAGUACAUGUCAACAUCAACGGUCCGUUCUAAUUUGUUUAGUCGCUGCUUCUAUAGACACUCACAUACUACUUAACAAAUAAUUAAUAAAUGUAUAAUUACGCUGUCAAACUCGAAAAUAAUUGUUUGCGCGUAACCUCAAAGGUAUUUUUUGAUUUUUUAAAUAGAAAGUAAUUGUUUUUCAGGAAAUAAUGCCAUUCGUGUGGCGCAGGCAGCAGGUUCCUCUGCCCCUUCC